AGCCGCUGAUGACUUCUGAUACUUUUCUGACACCUCGUAUGAACGCUGUAUUACAGCAGCUGAUUAUAAUUUCUAGUCUGAGGCUC
rnacentral:snoRNA from 1 species